GGACUACACGGGUAUCUAAUCCUGUUUGCUCCCCACGCUUUCGCGCCUGAGCGUCAGCAGUCGGCCAGGGCACUGCCUUCGCCAUUGGUGUUCUUCCGGAUCUCUACGCAUUUCACCGCUCCACCCGGAGUUCCAUGCCCCUCUCCGACGCUCAAGCCGACCCGUUUGCCUGGACCUCUCCCGGUUAAGCCGAGAGCUUUCACCAGACACGCGAUCGGCCGCCUGCGCGCCCUUUACGCCCAAUAAUUCCGGACAACGCUCGUCUCCUACGUAUUACCGCGGCUGCUGGCAC
rnacentral:rRNA from 1 species